UACGAGGGGGGCGAGCGUUGUUCGGAAUUAUUGGGCGUAAAGGGCGCGUAGGCGGUGCGGUAAGUCACCUGUGAAAUCUCUGGGCUUAACUCAGAGCCUGCAGGCGAAACUGCCGUGCUGGAGUGUGGCAGAGGGGGGUGGAAUUCCACGUGUAGCAGUGAAAUGCGUAGAUAUGUGGAGGAACACCGAUGGCGAAGGCAGCCCCCUGGGUUAACACUGACGCUCAUGCACGAAAGCGUGGGGAGCAAACAGG
rnacentral:rRNA from 1 species